ensembl:lncRNA
GAGCUGUGUGCUCACCCCCUUCAGCUCCAGCAGGAAAUGCUCCAGGACAGACCACCCUGUGCUUAUUUCCCUCCAGGGGAUCCCGAGCUCCCACACCCUGGCACAUCCCUGCCAUCCAAGCCCACGUUGCCCUCCAGCUCCCCUGGCUGGGACAGGUUGGCACCAGGCAUUAAAUCUAAAACCUUUCCCAUGGAUCAAAAUGAGGGUCUGAGAGAAUCAACAUGCAGUUCCCUCUGGGCACCACAGGUACACACUUGCAUGUGAAUCUGAUAAUGAUUUUUUUUUCUUAACGUUUUAAUAGGCAAAAGAAAUAAUCUACGACAUGAGUUAUCACUUCUUCAUUUUAAUGUUUAACGUGUUUUAUUGUUUUGCACAAAUAAG